UGGGGAAUAUUGCACAAUGGGGGGAACCCUGAUGCAGCGACGCCGCGUGAGUGAAGAAGUAUUUCGGUAUGUAAAGCUCUAUCAGCAGGGAAGAUAAUGACAGUACCUGACUAAGAAGCCCCGGCUAACUACGUGCCAGCAGCCGCGGCAAUACGUAGGGGGCAAGCGUUAUCCGGAUUUACUGGGUGUAAAGGGAGCGUAGACGGAAUGGCAAGUCUGAAGUGAAAUACCCGGGCUCAACCUGGGAACUGCUUUGGAAACUGUUGUUCUAGAGUGUUGGAGAGGUAAGUGGAAUUCCUGGUGUAGCGGUGAAAUGCGUAGAUAUCAGGAAGAACACCGGAGGCGAAGGCGGCUUACUGGACAAUAACUGACGUUGAGGCUCGAAAGCGUGGGGAUCAAACAGGAUUAGAUACCCUGGUAGUCCACGCUGUAAACGAUGAAUACUAGGUGUCGGGGUGCAAAGCAUCUCGGUGCCGUCGCUAACGCAAUAAGUAUUCCACCUGGGGAGUACGUUCGCAAGAAUG
rnacentral:rRNA from 1 species